CCCUUAGAUGUCCUGGGCCGCACGCGCGCUACACUGAUGCAUGCAACGAGUUUAUAACCUUGGCCUGAAAGGUCUGGGUAAUCUUUUGAACGUGCAUCGUGAUAGGGAUAGAUUAUUGCAAUUGUUAAUCUUGAACGAGGAAUUCCUAGUAAACGCGAGUCAUCAGCUCGCAUUGAUUACGUCCCUGCCCUUUGUACACACCGCCCGUCGCUCCUACCGAUUGGGUGAGCCGAUGAAACUCUCGGAUGUAGGCUAUUCAUAGCCCGCAGAAGAGAUUUGAAUCGUAGCGCUUAGAGGAAGGAGAAGUCGUAACA
rnacentral:rRNA from 1 species